ACGAAGCUUCGGCGCAGUCCGCUGGGCGGGUUGGCGGGUUGAGGCGCGGGCUCGGGAUCCAGCGCUGUCAGGGCGCAUCUCCAAACUUUGACCAGCUUUAAUUUACCCUGAGCAGCGAACCACGCCGCAAGUCGGCCUCUUCUUGCAGAGAGAAAUGGAAAUGCCCAGAACAAAAGAGCUCUUAUCGCCCCAAAGCCUGGAUUUACUUAUCCUGAGGCGGGGAAACUGAGGCCCAGACCAGUUGGACCCUCCAGCAGUCGAGACACAGGCAGGACCGAAGAGUCAAAUCAACCUUGCUGAGAAGUGCAUCAAGUUUAAAACCAGACCUUCGAAAGGACGUCCUGCAGUUUUAAACAUGAUGCAAAAUAUAAACAAAUUACUGCACUGGACACCGCCCAGCUGCGGGGAAUCCAAAAGUCAACGGCAGGGAACAAGACAUCACCGCCGGAUGCUGUGUUUCACCAAGUCAGAGAAGCAAGGGACAGCUCGCUCCGUAGGGAGACCGAGCGGUGGGGUCACGGCCAAACCCAGGGCUGGAGAUGGGCCUGGGGCGGGGGGUGUUUCCUGUUGCUGCUGUAAUGGUCUUCAUGAACGAAGUGGCUUAAAACAACACAAGUUUAAUUUUUGUUGUUUUAUUUGA
rnacentral:lncRNA from 1 species